UGGCAAUAUGACAAUUACUUUGUGAAAAAGAACCAUGACAACAUGGAGAAUAAUGCAUGAUGCUGGACAACUGCCGAAGACUAAAUACCUUAUGAUGAGAACAGUACCUUUAUAAUCAAUGGCAAAUCCUGACAUUCCAACAGAAGCAUCACUGCGAAAAGCCAGAAACAGACUGUUACCACUGCUCUCUAUUCUUUCAGGAGCAUGUGAGCCUUGAAAACUGCCAAUUAGAGGACUGUUGGAAUCUUCUCCUUCAUAAAUAUGUAGAAAAUCAUAACUGGGUUCCAUAUUGAAACUGAAAAUAAAGGGAAAAGAGAAUUAA